rnacentral:rRNA from 1 species
GGUGGCGACCGGCGCACGGGUGCGUAACGCGUAUGUAACCUACCUAUAACAGGGGCAUAACACUGAGAAAUUGGUACUAAUUCCCCAUAAUAUUCGGAGAGGCAUCUCUCCGGGUUGAAAACUCCGGUGGUUAUAGAUGGACAUGCGUUGUAUUAGCUAGUUGGUGAGGUAACGGCUCACCAAGGCAACGAUACAUAGGGGGACUGAGAGGUUAACCCCCCCACACUGGUACUGAGACACGGACCAGACUCCUACGGGAGGCAGCAUG